CGGGAUUUUUCCCGCUUAUAGUAUUAGGGGCGACAAAAAUCGCCCCUAAAAAUUUGACUUCUGACACUCUACUUAUUAAGGGUGACUUUUAGAGGCGACAAUUGUCGCCCCAAAAAGUUGUUUCAUUAAAAAUCAUUUCGUCUUCCCCGAGCCCCAUUCUUUGUUACCCUAAAAAAAUCUAAAAAUCUCUCUCUCUCUCAAAUUUCUUUAUUACCACCAAUGGUGGUCUCUUACCACCGGUCGUCGUCCCCUCCCAAGGCCUGAACGAAGUCCUCCACCAAAUCUAAAACCCCUCGAAACGCCGCCCAAACUUCAAGUCUUCCCUCCCUUACUUCGUUCACUCUCGUUUCCUUUUGCUCUGCCGCCCAAACAAGCCCACAACGGAGUACGAUGAUGGACGAACAUCGAGCUGGGGAUCACGAAUGUCAGGGCUUCGAUGGAUCAGGAAGGAAUGCACCCAUUGCAGCCAAGUCUCCGUCUCAGGCGGCGUCCUAAAGCUGGUGCAACCAAGUGUGAACUCCAAGUUCAGAAUUGUCUAUGAAAGCUC